CCUACGGGUGGCAGCAGUGAGGAAUAUUGGUCAAUGGACGAGAGUCUGAACCAGCCAAGUAGCGUGAAGGAUGACUGCCCUAUGGGUUGUAAACUUCUUUUAUCAAGGAAUAAAACGACGCACGUGUGCCUCUUUGCAUGUACUUUAUGAAUAAGGAUCGGCUAAUUCCGUGCCAGCAGCCGCGGUAAUACGGAAGAGCCGAGCGUUAUCCGGAUUUAUUGGGUUUAAAGGGAGCGUAGAGGGGGUGUUAAGGUAGUUGUGAAAGUUUGCGGCUCAACCCUAGAAUUGCAAUGGAAACUGGCAGUCUUGAGUACAGGUAAGGUAGGCGGAAUUCGUGGUGUAGCGGUGAAAUGCUUAGAUAUCACGAAGAACCCCGAUUGCGAAGGCAGCUUACUAAACUGUGACUGACGUUGAUGCUCGAAAGUGUGGGUAUCAAACAGGAUUAGAUACCCGUGUAGUC
rnacentral:rRNA from 1 species